rnacentral:rRNA from 1 species
UACGUAGGGUGCGAGCGUUGUCCGGAAUCACUGGGCGUAAAGCGCACGUAGGCGGACUCUUAAGUCGGUGGUGAAAUCCUGGAGCUCAACUCCAGAACUGCCUUCGAUACUGAGAGUCUCGAGUCCGGGAGAGGUGAGUGGAACUGCGAGUGUAGAGGUGAAAUUCGUAGAUAUUCGCAAGAACACCAGUGGCGAAGGCGGCUCACUGGCCCGGUACUGACGCUGAGGUGCGAAAGCGUGGGGAGCAAACAGG